CGGUACGUGGGGGAUAACGUAGUCGAAAGGUACGACUAAUACCGCAUACGUCCUGAGGGAGAAGCGGGGAGUCUUCGGACCUCGCGCGAUUGGAGCGGCCGAUGUCGGAUUAGCUAGUAGGUGAGGUAAAGGCUCACCUAGGCGACGAUCCGUAGCGGGUCUGAGAGGAUGAUCCGCCACACUGGGACUGAGACACGGCCCAGACUCCUACGGGAGGCAGCAGUGGGGAAUUUUGGACAAUGGGCGCAAGCCUGAUCCAGCCAUGCCGCGUGAGUGAAGAAGGCCUUCGGGUUGUAAAGCUCUUUCGGCCGGGAAGAAAUCGUGUUCUCUAACAUAGGACAUGGAUGACGGUACCGGACUAAGAAGCACCGGCUAACUACGUGCCAGCAGCCGCGGUAAUACGUAGGGUGCGAGCGUUAAUCGGAAUUACUGGGCGUAAAGCGUGCGCAGGCGGUUUUGUAAGACAGAUGUGAAAAUCCCCGGGGCUUAACCUGGGAACUGCGUUUGUGACUGCAAGGCUAGAGUACGGCAGAGGGGGGUGG
rnacentral:rRNA from 1 species